ACUACGCCGCGUGCGGGAUGAAGGCCUCGGGUUGUAAACCGCUUUCAGUAGGGAAGAAGCGAAAGUGACGGUACCUACAAAAGAAGCACCGGCUAACUAUGUGCCAGCAGCCGCGGUAAUACAUAGGGUGCAAACGUUGUCCGGAAUUAUUGGGCGUAAAGAGCUCGUAGGUCGUUUGUUACGUCGGAUGUGAAAAUCUGAGGCUCAACCUCAGACCUGCAUUCGAUACGGGCAAACUAGAGUUUGGUAGGGGAGACUGGAAUUCCUGGUGUAGCGGUGGAAUGCGCAGAUAUCAGGGGGAACACCAACGGCGAAGGCAGGUCUCUGGGCCAAUACUGACACUGAGGAGCGAAAGCGCGGGGAGCGAACAGGAUUAGAUACCCUGGUAGUCCGCGCCGUAAACGGUGGGUACUAGUUGUGGGAACCUUCCACGGUUCCUGCGACGACGCUAACGCAUUAAGUACCCCGCCUGGGGAGUACGAUCGCAAGAUUAAAACUCAAAGGAAUUGACGGGGCCCCGCACAAGCAGCGGAGCAUGCGGCUCAAUUCGAUGCAACGCGAAGAACCUUACCCAAGGCUUGACAUAUAGCGAAAAGUGGCAGAGAUGUCAUGUCCGCA
rnacentral:rRNA from 1 species